rfam:Dipodomys ordii contig_23646, whole genome shotgun sequence.
GGGAAGGUGGCUCAGUGGUAGAGCACUUGCCUUGAAUGCAUGAGGCCCUGGGUUCGAUUCCUCAGCCGCCACA